rnacentral:rRNA from 1 species
CCUACGGGUGGCAGCAGUGGGGAAUAUUGCACAAUGGGGGAAACCCUGAUGCAGCGACGCCGCGUGAGUGAAGAAGUAAUUCGUUACGUAAAGCUCUAUCAGCAGGGAUGCAACACCGACCUUACGGUCAGCAGACGGUACCUGUGUAAGAAGCCCCGGCUAACUACGUGCCAGCAGCCGCGGGAAUAAGUAGGGGGCAAGCUGUAUCCGGAUUUACGGGGUGUAAAGGGGGCGGAGACGGUGCGCCAAGCCUGGAGUGAAACGCCGCGGCUUAACUGCGGAACUGCUUUGGAAACUGGCGGACUAGAGUGCGGGAGAGGGAAGCGGAAUGCCUAGUGUAGCGGGGAAAUGCGUAGAUAUUAGGAGGAACGCCGGUGGCGAAGGCGGCUUACUGGACCGUAACUGACGUUGAGGCUCGAAAGCGUGGGGAGCAAACAGGAUUAGAUACCCGGGUAGUC